AUUGAACGCUGGCGGCAUGCUUUACACAAGCAAGUCGAACGGUAACAGGUUAAGCUGACGAGUGGCGAACGGGUGAGUAAUGCAUCGGAACGUGCCCGGUCGUGGGGGAUAACGCAGCGAAAGCUGCGCUAAUACCGCAUACGAUCUGAGGAUGAAAGCGGGGGACCGUAAGGCCUCGAGCGAUCGGAGCGGCCGAUGUCAGAUUAGGUAGUUGGUGGGGUAAAGGCUCACCAAGCCGACGAUCUGUAGCUGGUCUGAGAGGACGACCAGCCACACUGGGACUGAGACACGGCCCAGACUCCUACGGGAGGCAGCAGUGGGGAAUUUUGGACAAUGGGCGCAAGCCUGAUCCAGCAAUGCCGCGUGCAGGAAGAAGGCCUUCGGGUUGUAAACUGCUUUUGUACGGAGCGAAAAGGCUCUCUCUAAUACAGGGGGCUCAUGACGGUACCGUAAGAAUAAGCACCGGCUAACUACGUGCCAGCCGCCGCGGUAA
rnacentral:rRNA from 1 species